rnacentral:tRNA from 1 species
GGGGUUGUGGCUCAGUAGUAGAGUGCUUGUCUAUCAUGCUUGAGGCACUGGGUUCAAUCCCCAGAACCACA